GAUGAACGCUGGCGGCGUGCCUAAUACAUGCAAGUCGAGCGAACAGACGAGGAGCUUGCUCCUCUGACGUUAGCGGCGGACGGGUGAGUAACACGUGGAUAACCUACCUAUAAGACUGGGAUAACUUCGGGAAACCGGAGCUAAUACCGGAUAAUAUAUUGAACCGCAGGGUUCAAUAGUGAAAGACGGUUUUGCUGUCACUUAUAGAUGGAUCCGCGCCGCAUUAGCUAGUUGGUAAGGUAACGGCUUACCAAGGCGACGAUGCGUAGCCGACCUGAGAGGGUGAUCGGCCACACUGGAACUGAGACACGGUCCAGACUCCUACGGGAGGCAGCAGUAGGGAAUCUUCCGCAAUGGGCGAAAGCCUGACGGAGCAACGCCGCGUGAGUGAUGAAGGUCUUCGGAUCGUAAAACUCUGUUAUUAGGGAAGAACAACUGUGUAAGUAACUAUGCACGUCUUGACGGUACCUAAUCAGAAAGCCACGGCUAACUACGUG
rnacentral:rRNA from 1 species